AUACGGCGGGGACUAGCGUUGUUCGGAAUUACUGGGCGUAAAGAGUUCGUAGGCGGACUGAUAAGUAAGAGGUGAAAUCCCAGGGCUCAACCCUGGAACUGCCUUUUAAACUGUCAGUCUAGAGACCGGAAGAGGUUAGGGGAAUACCUAGUGUAGAGGUGAAAUUCGUAGAUAUUAGGUGGAACACCAGUGGCGAAGGCGCCUAACUGGUCCGGUACUGACGCUGAGGAACGAAAGCGUGGGGAGCAAACAGGAUUAGAUACCCUAGUAGUCC
rnacentral:rRNA from 1 species